rnacentral:misc_RNA from 1 species
GGUGAUAAAGCAUACACAUUUACACUUACAUUUAGCACCACAAGCAUGUUUUGCACCUAUAAGAUAAAUUAGCAUGCUUGAACUUUUUAUCCGGCCAAAAUAUAGGCUAUUACCAUCGAGCUUCAAAAGAGAUCUUAAUGUACUAUUAUUGGGAGCUCUAAGUAUUACGAAACGACUAAAAUUCACACUUUGUUUAACAUACCAAUAUGCAAGCCCCAAAGUCGAUGUCUGAUACCUUAAACUGGUUGGAUUUAUUACAAGAACGAAUCCAAGAUAAUCACGCUUGUUACUUCAAUAGAGUUCUUUCCAAGCUUCUUAUUUAUGAUGCUAAUUUGCAGACCCCAGGCUUGAACAUAAUCAC